UACGGGGGGGGCAAGCGUUGUUCGGAAUUACUGGGCGUAAAGGGCUUGUAGGUGGCCAACUAAGUCAGACGUGAAAUCCCUCGGCUUAACCGGGGAACUGCGUCUGAUACUGGAUGGCUUGAGUGUGGGAGAGGGAUGCGGAAUUCCAGGUGUAGCGGUGAAAUGCGUAGAUAUCUGGAGGAACACCGGUGGCGAAGGCGGCAUCCUGGACCAACACUGACGCUGAGGAGCGAAAGCCAGGGGAGCAAACGGG
rnacentral:rRNA from 1 species